rnacentral:rRNA from 1 species
AGGCAGCAGCAAGGAAUUUUCCGCAAUGGGCGCAAGCCUGACGGAGCAACGCCGCGUGGGGGAGGACGCUUUUCGGAGUGUAAACCCCUUUUCUCAGGGAAGAUGAUGACGGUACCUGAGGAAGAAGGACCGGCUAACUACGUGCCAGCAGCCGCGGUAAUACGUAGGGUCCGAGCGUUGUCCGGAGUUACUGGGCAUAAAGCGCACGUAGGUGGUCCGCUAAGUCGCGUGUGAAAUCCCCCGGCUCAACCGGGGGAAAUGCGCGUGAUACUGGCGGGCUUGAGAUCGGGAGGGGUGAAUGGAACUCCAGGUGGAGCGGUGAAAUGCGUAGAUAUCUGGAGGAACACCGGUGGCGAAAGCGGUUCACUGGCCCGACACUGACACUGAGGUGCGAAAGCUAGGGUAGCAAACGGGAUUAGAUACCCCGGUAGUCCUAGCCGUAAACGGUGCACGUUUGCUGUAAGAGGAAUCGACCCCUUUUGUGGCGAAGCUAACGCGUUAAACGUGCCGCCUGGGAAGUACGGCCGCAAGGUUA